rfam:Candidatus Wildermuthbacteria bacterium RIFCSPHIGHO2_02_FTLL_45_25 rifcsphigho2_02_scaffold_4301, whole genome shotgun sequence.
AACUACAAUCGAAGAUAUCCGCAGACAGCAGGUGAUUUCCCUCUUGAGGGAAAUCAUAAAUCCUGCCGAGGGUAAAGAAAGUUUUGGCGUUUUCCGCCAAGAGAGGUCGAUUUCUUAUGCCUAUGUCUGUGGAAUGUAUCCACAGAUUUUUAUUUAGCUUU